AUUGAACGCUGGCGGCAGGCUUAACACAUGCAAGUCGAGCGGAGAUGAGGUGCUUGCACCUUAUCUUAGCGGCGGACGGGUGAGUAAUGCUUAGGAAUCUGCCUAUUAGUGGGGGACAACAUUCCGAAAGGAAUGCUAAUACCGCAUACGCCCUACGGGGGAAAGCAGGGGAUCUUCGGACCUUGCGCUAAUAGAUGAGCCUAAGUCGGAUUAGCUAGUUGGUGGGGUAAAGGCCUACCAAGGCGACGAUCUGUAGCGGGUCUGAGAGGAUGAUCCACCACACUGGGACUGAGACACGGCCCAGACUCCUGCGGGAGGCAGGAGUGGGGAAUAUUGGACAAUGGGCGGAAGCCUGAUCCAGCCAUGCCGCGUGUGUGAAGAGUGCCUUUUGGUUGUAAAGCACUUUAAGCGAGGAGGAGGCUACUUAGAUUAAUACUCUAGGAUAGUGGACGUUACUCGCAGAAUAAGCACCGGCUAACUCUGUGCCAGCCGCCGCCGUAAGAC
rnacentral:rRNA from 1 species